rnacentral:rRNA from 1 species
UACGGGGGGGGCAAGCGUUGUUCGGAAUUACUGGGCGUAAAGGGCUCGUGGGUGGCCAAUUAAGUCAGACGUGAAAUCCCCAGGCUCAACUUGGGAACUGCGUCUGAUACUGGUUGGCUUGAAUUCGGGAGAGGGAUGCAGAAUUCCAGGUGUAGCGGUGAAAUGCGUAGAUAUCUGGAGGAAUACCGGUGGCGAAGGCGGCAUCCUGGACCGAGAUUGACACUGAUGAGCGAAAGCCAGGGGAGCAAACGGG